rnacentral:rRNA from 1 species
AUACGGAGGGUGCAAGCGUUGUUGGGAAUCACUGGGCGUAAAGGGCGCGCAGGCGGUUUGGUAAGUCAGAUGUGAAAGCCCACGGCUCAACCGUGGAAGUGCAUUUGAAACUGUCAGACUUGAGUACUAGAGGGGAAAGUGGAAUUCCCGGUGUAGAGGUGAAAUUCGUAGAUAUCGGGAGGAAUACCGGUGGCGAAGGCGACUUUCUGGCUAGAUACUGACGCUGAGGCGCGAAAGCGUGGGGAGCAAACAGGAUUAGAUACCCUAGUAGUCC